rnacentral:rRNA from 1 species
UUAAGUUAUUAAGGGCGCACGGUGGAUGCCUUGGCACUAGAAGCCGAUGAAGGACGUUACUAACGACGAUAUGCUUUGGGGAGCUGUAAGUAAGCUUUGAUCCAGAGAUUUCCGAAUGGGGAAACCCAGCAUGAGUUAUGUCAUGUUAUCGAUAUGUGAAUACAUAGCAUAUCAGAAGGCACACCCGGAGAACUGAAACAUCUUAGUACCCGGAGGAAGAGAAAGAAAAUUCGAUUCCCUUAGUAGCGGCGAGCGAAACGGGAAGAGCCCAAACCAACAAGCUUGCUUGUUGGGGUUGUAGGACACUCUAUACGGAGUUACAAAGGACGACAUUAGACGAAUCAUCUGGAAAGAUGAAUCAAAGAAGGUAAUAAUCCUGUAGUCGAAAAUGUUGUCUCUCUUGAGUGGAUCCUGAGUACGACGGAGCACGUGAAAUUCCGUCGGAAUCUGGGAGGACCAUCUCCUAAGGCUAAAUACUCUCUAGUGACCGAUAGUGAACCAGUACCGUGAGGGAAAGGUGAAAAGCACCCCGGAAGGGGAGUGAAAUAGAACCUGAAACCGUGUGCUUACAAGUAGUCAGAGCCCGUUAAUGGGUGAUGGCGUGCCUUUUGUAGAAUGAACCGGCGAGUUACGAUUUGAUGCAAGGUUAAGCAGUAAAUGUGGAGCCGUAGCGAAAGCGAGUCUGAAUAGGGCGUUUAGUAUUUGGUCGUAGACCCGAAACCAGGUGAUCUACCCUUGGUCAGGUUGAAGUUCAGGUAACACUGAAUGGAGGACCGAACCGACUUACGUUGAAAAGUGAGCGGAUGAACUGAGGGUAGCGGAGAAAUUCCAAUCGAACCUGGAGAUAGCUGGUUCUCUCCGAAAUAGCUUUAGGGCUAGCCUCAAGUGAUGAUUAUUGGAGGUAGAGCACUGUUUGGACGAGGGGCCCCUCUCGGGUUACCGAAUUCAGACAAACUCCGAAUGCCAAUUAAUUUAACUUGGGAGUCAGAACAUGGGUGAUAAGGUCCGUGUUCGAAAGGGAAACAGCCCAGACCACCAGCUAAGGUCCCAAAAUAUAUGUUAAGUGGAAAAGGAUGUGGCGUUGCCCAGACAACUAGGAUGUUGGCUUAGAAGCAGCCAUCAUUUAAAGAGUGCGUAAUAGCUCACUAGUCGAGUGACACUGCGCCGAAAAUGUACCGGGGCUAAACAUAUUACCGAAGCUGUGGAUUGUCCUUUGGACAAUGGUAGGAGAGCGUUCUAAGGGCGUUGAAGCAUGAUCGUAAGGACAUGUGGAGCGCUUAGAAGUGAGAAUGCCGGUGUGAGUAGCGAAAGACGGGUGAGAAUCCCGUCCACCGAUUGACUAAGGUUUCCAGAGGAAGGCUCGUCCGCUCUGGGUUAGUCGGGUCCUAAGCUGAGGCCGACAGGCGUAGGCGAUGGAUAACAGGUUGAUAUUCCUGUACCACCUAUAAUCGUUUUAAUCGAUGGGGGGACGCAGUAGGAUAGGCGAAGCGUGCGAUUGGAUUGCACGUCUAAGCAGUAAGGCUGAGUAUUAGGCAAAUCCGGUACUCGUUAAGGCUGAGCUGUGAUGGGGAGAAGACAUUGUGUCUUCGAGUCGUUGAUUUCACACUGCCGAGAAAAGCCUCUAGAUAGAAAAUAGGUGCCCGUACCGCAAACCGACACAGGUAGUCAAGAUGAGAAUUCUAAGGUGAGCGAGCGAACUCUCGUUAAGGAACUCGGCAAAAUGACCCCGUAACUUCGGGAGAAGGGGUGCUCUUUAGGGUUAACGCUCAGAAGAGCCGCAGUGAAUAGGCCCAAGCGACUGUUUAUCAAAAACACAGGUCUCUGCUAAACCGUAAGGUGAUGUAUAGGGGCUGACGCCUGCCCGGUGCUGGAAGGUUAAGAGGAGUGGUUAGCUUCUGCGAAGCUACGAAUCGAAGCCCCAGUAAACGGCGGCCGUAACUAUAACGGUCCUAAGGUAGCGAAAUUCCUUGUCGGGUAAGUUCCGACCCGCACGAAAGGCGUAACGAUUUGGGCACUGUCUCAACGAGAGACUCGGUGAAAUCAUAGUACCUGUGAAGAUGCAGGUUACCCGCGACAGGACGGAAAGACCCCGUGGAGCUUUACUGUAGCCUGAUAUUGAAAUUCGGCACAGCUUGUACAGGAUAGGUAGGAGCCUUUGAAACGUGAGCGCUAGCUUACGUGGAGGCGCUGGUGGGAUACUACCCUAGCUGUGUUGGCUUUCUAACCCGCACCACUUAUCGUGGUGGGAGACAGUGUCAGGCGGGCAGUUUGACUGGGGCGGUCGCCUCCUAAAAGGUAACGGAGGCGCUCAAAGGUUCCCUCAGAAUGGUUGGAAAUCAUUCAUAGAGUGUAAAGGCAUAAGGGAGCUUGACUGCGAGACCUACAAGUCGAGCAGGGUCGAAAGACGGACUUAGUGAUCCGGUGGUUCCGCAUGGAAGGGCCAUCGCUCAACGGAUAAAAGCUACCCCGGGGAUAACAGGCUUAUCUCCCCCAAGAGUUCACAUCGACGGGGAGGUUUGGCACCUCGAUGUCGGCUCAUCGCAUCCUGGGGCUGUAGUCGGUCCCAAGGGUUGGGCUGUUCGCCCAUUAAAGCGGUACGCGAGCUGGGUUCAGAACGUCGUGAGACAGUUCGGUCCCUAUCCGUCGUGGGCGUAGGAAAUUUGAGAGGAGCUGUCCUUAGUACGAGAGGACCGGGAUGGACAUACCUCUGGUGUACCAGUUGUCGUGCCAACGGCAUAGCUGGGUAGCUAUGUGUGGACGGGAUAAGUGCUGAAAGCAUCUAAGCAUGAAGCCCCCCUCAAGAUGAGAUUUCCCAACUUCGGUUAUAAGAUCCCUCAAAGAUGAUGAGGUUAAUAGGUUCGAGGUGGAAGCAUGGUGACAUGUGGAGCUGACGAAUACUAAUCGAUCGAAGACUUAAUCAA